rnacentral:lncRNA from 1 species
GAAAAAUCCACGGGACCGAUCACGCGAAGAAAAUUCACUAAGAAAACUUGAGUACAAGUGAUUUUGACAAAAAUACACGACUCAAUUUACCGAUUUCUUAUUGAUGGUGAUCUUCGCCGGUCCUCGAUCGAUAGGAAUCCACCAAUCGACCUCGCUGCAACUCCUCGCAGCGUCAACGCCUCAACUCCUCGAAGUGUCCACCGAAUCCUCGGCUACACGCGAGAUACACGCGCCGAACCUCCUUCC